rnacentral:rRNA from 1 species
CCUUGACAUACUAAGAACUUUCCAGAGAUGGAUUGGUGCCUUUCGGGAACUUAGAUACAGGUGCUGCAUGGCUGUCGUCAGCUCGUGUCGUGAGAUGUUGGGUUAAGUCCCGNAACGAGCGCAACCCUUUUUCCUUAUUUGCCAGCGGGUCAUGCCGGGAACUUUUAAGGAUACUGCCAGUGACAAACUGGAGGAAGGCGGGGACGACGUCAAGUCAUCAUGGCCCUUACGGCCAGGGCUACACACGUGCUACAAUGGUCGGUACAAAGGGUUGCUACCUCGCGAGAGGAUGCUAAUCUCAAAAAGCCGAUCGUAGUCCGGAUCGCAGUCUGCAACUCGACUGCGUGAAGUCGGAAUCGCUAGUAAUCGCGGAUCAGAAUGCCGCGGUGAAUACGUUCCCGGGCCUUGUACACACCGCCCGUCACACCAUGGGAGUUUGUUGCACCAGAAGUAGGUAGUCUAACCGCAAGGAGGACGCUUACCACGGUGUGGCCGAUGACUGGGGUGAAGUCGUAACAAGGUAAGCGUAGAUGA